rnacentral:misc_RNA from 1 species
AACCUAGCACACCUGCGGUGUGUACCUGCGGAAGGAUCAUUACCGAGUUUACAACUCCCAAACCCCUGUGAACAUACCUAUACGUUGCCUCGGCGGAUCAGCCCGCGCCCCGUAAAACGGGACGGCCCGCCCGAGGACCCCUAAACUCUGUUUUUAGUGGAACUUCUGAGUAAAACAAACAAAUAAAUCAAAACUUUUAACAAUGGAUCU